AAUAAUAUUAAGAAUGAGGGGUGAGUUCAACCAACUCAGUGAGGGAAUAAUAAUUAAUAUACAUUUUAGAUAUUCUUGAUAUUAAUAGUUCGCAAGAUCAUUUAUCUUGAUAUACAUAUACAUAUACAUAUACAUACUAAACAUAUUAUAUACAUAUCAUAUACAUACAAAACAUAUCAUAUACAUAUCAUAUACAUACUAAACGUAUCAUCAUAACGUAGUGGACUACAUGUCAGAGAUCAGAUGACACCCGGAGGUGACCAGAUGACACACGAAGGUGACCAGAUGACACCCGAAGGUGACCACUGUGGGAUGAUCAGUCGCCACAGGCUGAUGCCUCUCUCACCAGCUAGGUUUACAGAAUAUUAUGUGCACAUAGGCUAACUACUCUCUGUUAGCAUGGAGUUACUGACAAGUCCCAUAUCAAGGCAUAAUAGAUAUUCACAUAAUCAUCAAAGAAACGUAUAUCAUAUCAAAUAAAAUUUACUUUGACAGAUUGCGAGUGCAAAUUCAAGAAUAAAUGAGUACUCAGAAAUAAAGCAACGUAUAUAAAUAUUCAAGAAAUUUACUAAUUGUACUCAUCAUAUAAUCAACAUACGUAUUUA
rnacentral:lncRNA from 1 species